rnacentral:lncRNA from 1 species
UUGCUCAAUCUCAUUCCAUCAAUCCAAACAUAUCCUUAAAAUCAUUUGAAAUUCCAAUCCAAUACCUUUUCUGUUUCACUUAUAACAAGGAUGAGCAUUUACCUUAGUACGUAGCGAGCUGAUCGAGUAGGGUGGAUGAAUUGGCGGGAGAUAUGGAGGAAGGGCGUGAAGGCACAGUCGUCAAUUGGANUAGUUAGUUAGUUAGUUAGGGAUUCAUUCAUACAUAAUUUGAUGAAUUCAUUGAUAAUUAACAAGGUUGGUGCAGUUGACGGACUGAGAAUCGAUUCAGAUCAGGUUUCAAUUUCCUUGCUUCCGCUUUCGAUUAAUUUCAUUUCAUCAAACACCUUUAUCGAUUUACAAUCUGCAUUUAGGAUCACCAGAUAUUGCUUGAUAUGAAAACGUUAUUUAACAUACAUCGAAUAAAUUAUCAAUCUCACUUCAAUUUACUCCUUUAACUUUGUGUUCUGACUUCCGGUACACCUAAAAUGUCCUGCAUUGACGGUGCCGUCUGUGGGAAUCGAACCCCGGUAUUGAAUGAUACUUUAUAUACAACACUCACUCACACUACUCAACCCAACAAGGUGCCUUUUAUAAAGGACAAAAUUGUGAGGGCUCACACACAAUACCAAAAACGAAUAAUAGCUCAGAAACGCGGUGUUGUGGACUUGAGGUCAAAACAUUGGCGCCAUCUAUGGGAACGAACCCACAAGCUUAUGUAGUCUCAGGCUGGAGAUCAAUGGUAGUUUGUAUAUAACACUCACACUUCUCAACCCACCAGUGCACCUUUCUAGGGACAAAUCCGUGAGGGCUUACGGACAAGAUUCAAUAUGGACAAUACCUCAGAAACACAAUGUUGCAGACUUGAGGUUGCAACACUAUGUAUCUACAAUUAAGUAUACAAAAUUCUUCAAUUUAGGGACUACUUGGAACAUUUAUACAGUUUAGAGACUAAAUUGAAAAAUUCUGAUAGUUUAGGACUAAAUUGAUCGUUUAUUCUGAAUGAUACUUGUACAGUCUUUGUGUUAACUAUAUAAAAUAGUAAUAUGAACAUUUUUGUAUUAUCCUAUUUAGAAGGUACAUUUGAUACUUGGAAAGAUGAAGUGGAUGACUACUUGGCUUGUGCAGUUUAGAGCAUAUGCAUCUAAAUGCAUAUAAGGUACGUUGCUCAAUAAUAUCUUUUUACUGUUAACUGUCUUUAUGUACCAUUCUCAACAAAAUAAAUUCCGAGUAACCUUUCAUUUUUCACAUUAUUCGAAUAUAGUCUCUGAUAUGAAAAUCGACUUUUUGUAUAAUGUGUACAUCUGAGAUGAGGCCUAAUGUUUAAAAUCUAGUUGAACAUAAAUACAAAAAUUGACUUUUUGUAUAAUGUGUAUGUACAUCUGAGAUAAGUCUUAUACACUGGCACAAACUUGUUUCCACCAUUUAAUCAAUAUGUCUCACCAUUAGAGGUAGAUACUAGAUAAAAGAAAUUGAAUCAUUGUGUGUAUUUCUAGCCGUCAACCCUUUGAAGUUUGAUCUGUAUCCAUAGUGGCUACUGGCUAGGGUAUGGCAAUAAGACUGUUGUAUUGAAUUUUUGGAAUAUCCCUCAUGCUCCACCUUCUUUUUUUAAGUGACCGUUAAAUAACUUAGUUCUAACCAAUUUGCCUAUAGUUAUAGUCAAAAUAUUCUAUCCAUCUCGUCUAAAAGUUAAUGAUUUAUUUUAUUCAAUGAUGAUACAUAUCAUUUAAAAGAAAAUUGGUUGAUUUUUAUAAUUAAGCAUAGACCUGUAUCCAUGUAGGGAAGAGGCCUAGUCCCAAGCUUAAAUAACAAGCUAAUUGGGUGAAUGCUCAUUUGUCCCAAAUGGCUCCACACCAAGGACAAAUCACUAGUUAGUUGGUAUUAAGUAUUAACUUGGUGAUUAACCUAACAUACAAAAAAUCUUACUUAUUAUAAUAUAAUAAUAUUGGUUGGUGGUUAAUUAAAUUUCCACUAAUAACUAAUUUCUCUACAAGCAGAUGUACACAAAAAUAAAAAUAAGUCAAAAGACGAUCAAUGAAUUUAAAGAAUAAUUAUAAUAUAAUUGAAUCAAAGAAUCGUUAAGUUAGAACAUGAAAGAAAAAAAGAAAAAAAAACUUAGAACAAUUUGCUAGCAAAUUCAUCAACUGUUGUUCCCUCUUCGCGAGAAUAAGCUGAUUUUCUAGCAAGAUCUCUUAAUUGUGACAAACUUCUUCCCAAUUUCAAAGCCAACUUAAUUUCAAACAACUCUCCAUUCUCUCUUUGUUCUUCAUCUUCCUCUAAUAUAUUCUCUUGAAUAGAAUUUUCCAUCAUUUGAAAGAAUCCACCACAGGUUCUAUACAUCUCAGCAACCAUACCAACUUGUCCACCAUGCUCAAAAGAAUUAACUGCUGUUGCCAAUGCUCCAGCCACAACUGGUACUAUAGAUGUCCAUGAACCUUGACCUACAAAAGUGGACCCCACUGCUGCAAUUCCAGUUAGUAAAGGCCCUGCAAUUGCCAAUGUCUUAUUAAUCUUCAACACCAAGUUUCCUAAUCUCUCAUAAUCUUCCAUGUCUUUUCUCUUCAUAACUUCUAAUACAUCUUUUAUUUCAGUUUCUAACCCUUCAUUCCAUCCAUUUUUCUUCCACCCCUUUUGUUUUGUUUCAUUAAUUUGAGAAAUCAUGUUGCUUCUAGUUGACUUUUUUGUAGGCAACCAAUUAGCAGGUUCAUACUUUUGAGGAAAUUUUUCAAUCAUAGCUCCUAACAAAGGCAGUGGAUAAGCUUUAUCAAGUGCUAAAACAUUUGCAAUUGCAUCCUUUACAUAUUCCUUUGUGGGAUUCCCUAUUGCUAUUGUGGUUUCGAUGUUGGACUUGAGCGAUUUAAAUAACCUCGUUGCGUUUCUUUGUUCCUCAGCAAGUUGUGAAGGUUGAAUUUUAUUCAUGAUAAUUAGCAUACCUGUUGAGGCUGUGAAUAAAAGUGCUGAAGAUAAUUUAAGUGCCAAAAGUGGCGCGCCGGAGCCACUUAUGGCUGCAAUACCUGCCAUGGCGGAUGCUGUAAGAGUGAUCAUGUUGAUCGAGUUUAACAAAAGGGUGUUCCAAUUAUUGCGUUGUUCACCAAUGUUUUGAUGCAUUUCUAUUCUAUCGGAUACCGAUUCUAGAAUUGCAUAGAGUUGAGUAAUGGUUUUUGUUUUUGAUGAUGAAGGAGAACUUUUAGGUGAAUAAUACUCAUUUUCUUGGAUCUUAACUGGAAUU